UGAGAAGCAAGCCAUCUGCUCUAGUGC
rnacentral:piRNA from 1 species